CUGUUUCAGAAUUUACUAUUUUUGAAAUUUCCCGCUAAAGUUAAAUGUAGUGGAUAAUUUAUACUACAGGUGGCGCUUCAGUCGGUCACGUGAUGACAACAAAUUGAAACGUCAUAGUUGGUAAAUAUUAAUUAAUAAUCAUGUCGGCGCCGAUAUCAACUGCAAUGGACAGUAUGACAGCUGCAAUGAAAACGAACAUUAUUCCAAAUCAGGAAUAUCUUCUCCAAGGUUCUGUUUUGGAUAGUGCAGUUGAAGUUUUGCUACAUCGUCUUCGUGGCUUGUGUGACAAUGUUGACACUGGACCUGAAACUUUUCACGAUCACGAAAUGUGUUUCAGCAUUAGACGAGGACCACUACCGGAACAACCACUUCUUUUAAGAAUUCGAAGAGCUCUUGAUUAUCCCGAAAUGCCAUGGCAAUUACGUUAUAUUGGUCAAACGGAAAUUGGCGAUAAAUCACGUCCAACAUUAAUAAGAAGUAGUUUAGAUAUUGCAACAAGUAAUACUGUUGCUGAAUUUUUAUCAGAAUUGGGAUGUAAAUUAGAUUUUGAAUAUAUUGUACGUGGCUAUAUGUUUCGUAAGGGACGUAUGAAAGUGACUGUUUCGAAAAUCUUUAAAAUGGGACAAGGAAAAAUGCCCGACAGUGUUGAACCAAUGUCACAAAGUUAUCUCGUUGAACUCAGUGUUCUUGCACCAUCUGGACAGGAUGCAAUUGCCGAAGAUAUGCGAUCAUUUGCUGAACAAUUAAAACCAUUGGUUCAACUUGAAAAAAUUGAUUAUAAACGUCUGGUACAUUAAAAAUAAUUUUUUAAUUUUUAUGAAAAGGAAAUCGAUUUUAUUUUUCAUUUAUUAAAAACGUAUUAGUAUAUAUAAAAAGAGCCCUUUCCAUUUUUGAAAAUGUUGCGGAUUUGAAUUACGUUGUAAAGGGGGAAAAAAUGACGCCCCCUUGUUGACAGUUUUCUAAACAGAGAUGAUGUUGCUUGUUCCUUGUUCGCCAUUUUGUAUUCACAUUUUUGGUGUAAUCGUCAUCAGACAAGCUUUAUUAAUGCUUGCUUUAUUAUAGAAUUAUUUGGAUUAUUUUUUUCAAGAACUUAUUAAUCAA